GAUGAACGCUGGCGGCGUGCUUAACACAUGCAAGUCGAACGAUGAAGCCCAGCUUGCUGGGUGGAUUAGUGGCGAACGGGUGAGUAACACGUGAGUAACCUGCCCUUAACUCUGGGAUAAGCCUGGGAAACUGGGUCUAAUACCGGAUAGGAGCGUCCACCGCAUGGUGGGUGUUGGAAAGAUUUGUCGGUUUUGGAUGGACUCGCGGCCUAUCAGCUUGUUGGUGAGGUAAUGGCUCACAAAGGCGACGACGGGUAGCCGGCCUGAGAGGGUGACCGGCCACACUGGGACUGAGAGACGGCCCAGACUCCUACGGGAGGCAGCAGUGGGGAAUAUUGCACAAUGGGCGCAAGCCUGAUGCAGCGACGCCGCGUGAGGGAUGACGGCCUUCGGGUUGUAAACCUCUUUCAGUAGGGAAGAAGCGAAAGUGACGGUACCUGCAGAAGAAGCACCGGCUAAAUACGUG
rnacentral:rRNA from 1 species